rnacentral:lncRNA from 1 species
AUCUCAACAUACUAAGUGAAUAAAAUCUCGACAAGUCAUAUAAUAUAAAUAAAAGACAGACACCUUAAUUAGAGCUGACACACUAAGACUCUGAAAGCAAAAGACGAGGUAGCUUCAAAGCUAGCCUCCAGCAACUCACCAAGUAAAACAAAACUUCUCCUGCACACCAUCUAUCCAUAAAUACGCAAAGGUAGGUAGUCAAACAAACGACCACUGGAGGUUUGUUCACAUUUCACAAUUAAAGUAUAAUCAAAUUAAAAUGAACGAUAUAAUUAAAUUCAAAUGAUUAAACAAUACUUAAGAAGCUCAACAUCAUUAAUAAUCAUCAAUCAUACAAGUAUGAUUAUACACAAGUACAUUUUCAACAUCAUCACAUAUUCAUCAAAUUUUACCAAGCACGUAAUUCAUCAAAUUUUACCAAGCACGUAAUUCAUCAAGUUCACCGAUCCACAUAAAUCACCAAGGUUCACCAAGCACAUAAACAAAUACGACACAUUUAAUCAAUUAUCAAAUGUAUGUAAUGCGCAUAAACACGACUUUAUAUGCAUGUCCUACCGGUUGUCGUCAUUUGAAUACAAAGUAUUCUUUUCGUCUUCGUCGGAUAUAAUGUCCUAGUCAUCUUCAUUGGAUAUAAAUAUCCUACUUAUGAAUGCAUGAACAUACGAAUCAACAAUGCACACGCUCAACAAAAAAUCGUCAUCAUUUUCUUCAUUUUUCAUAAAUGCAUUCAUCAUCAAUAACGUUGUCAUUAUGCAUGCAAUGAUUCAUCAACAUAAAUCAUCAUCAUCAUCAUAAUCAUUAUCAACAACAAUCAACUAAAGAAUCAACAAAGUUCCAAACUAAUGAAUAAACAAUUCUAGUCGUCUUCAUUGGAUAUAAAUAUCUUACUUAUGAAUGCAUGAAUAUACGACUCAACAAUGCAUACGCUCAAGAAAAAAUCGUGAUCAUUUUCGUCUUGAUUUUUCAUACAUGCAUUCAUCAUCAAUAACGUUGUCAUUAUGCAUGUAAUGAUUCAUCAACAUAAAUCAUCAUCAUCAUCAAAAUCAUCAUCAACAACAAUCAACUAAAGAAUCAACAAAGUUACAAACUCACAUUUUGCACAAAAGACGGACAAUUAUCCACAUCAAGACAUUCAUCAAAUUAAACACGGACUCAUCCUUGAUUCAUUCUUAUUAUAAAAUAUCAUCAUGAAUAUAAAGUCAAUUGCAAGUUAUCCGGUCAUAAAACCUCAUUUCAACAAAGUUCGUCUAUUUUUAUAAAAUCGCCCAUUUUCAAUUUCACCAAGCAAAUUUGGGUUCCAAGUUCUUACAUACCAUUAAGACAUCUCUACAUAUCAUCUAACAUCUUAGUUAAUCAAUCAUAACAAGUUCACUUCACAAAUUUCAACUAGUUCUCCAAAAUUGCAAAGUUCAUCUCCUUUUUCUUCAUGUUUCAAACUCAAUUCAUUUCCAAGUAAAAUCAAGUUAAAACACUUCUAAAGAACAAAAAUUCAUGAUUACAUACUCAUUUAUUCACUAUAAAUACUUCCUUAAAUUCAAUAUUAAUUUUGAAGAUGUUUCAUGGUUUAGUGAAAAUGUUAUGAUAAAGUUUCAUGAGAAAGGGACACAUGACCUAUGUGAAGUAAUUUGACCAUAAAUCAAGGUAUAGAAAACAUUUUGAAGUGAGAUUAAACCCAUUAGAAAUAUAACAUACAUAUAUAAAACUUUCAUGUUUACAACUACGGCUGAAUCGAUUCAGAUCUUAUUGAAUUGAUUCAAAACAAAUUAGAGAGAAACCAUGAUACGAUUCAAAAUUGUCUGAAUCGAUACAAAGCUGCCCAAAUACAGAAUGAUGCAACUCAAACUUUCUUGAAUAAAAUUCAAUGGCCUGGAAAACACAAUUUUAGCUUUGGUUUCAUCCCCAAAUCAUCCCAAAAAUCGCUAUUUUGAUUUCCAACAUACCCAAAAUGAUAAAAAUCAUUUUCCAAGGUUCAAAUACACCAUUUAGACUCUUUUCACGACAAUACAAAACAACUUAUACUUCAAUUUACCUAAUUCAUCAAGGUUACAACAACAACAACUUACACACAACAACACAUAUAUCACACUCAAUACAUGAAUCAUCAUCACCAACAUAUACCCAUCAACAAUCAUAGCAUAUAAUUCAUGAACUCGUCAAUUUUCAACAACAACAUCUUCAUUUUCAUAAAUUUAAGUUAAAACUUCAAAGCUAUCAUUUCAACAUAGUUAUACAAUGAAAUUUAAGUACCCACAACGAGAUUUCAAAAAAUUUCACAUACUCAAAUUUAUCGCAUAAUCGUGAGCACGAAAUUCAACAUUCAAAAUCACAAAAAGUCAUAAUUCACCAUAAGCACCUGUUCUCAUAAUUGAAAAGAUGAAGGUUGAAACUUAACUAUGAAAAGGAUAUAUCCCCCUUACAUCUAGGUCUUGAAUUCACUAGCUUAGGCUUCAAUUUAGCUCCUAGCUCUUCAAACCUCAAGCUCUCCCUCUAGCUUCCUCUUCUUUCCUCUUGCGAUCUACUUUCUCUCUCUACCUCUUAUGUUUUUGUGGAAUAAAAUAAUGAAUGGCUUAACCUAAUUUUUUCAUAAGAGUUAUGCUUAUAUAGUCACCUCUUAAUUUGGCUAGGUUUCUAAUUGUCAUAAUGGGCUCAACAUCCUUACUAACUAAUUCGCAAAAGUUAAUACUCACUUAAACCGUUAAAACACCGAAUAAUUACUAUCUCUAAAUGAUUACCCCAACUUACUAGUAACUUAGUAAAAAUAUUUAUUCUCACUAAAACUCCAAAAGUAACCUUCUUAAUAAAAAUGACUAAUUUAUCCUUACUCGCCAAAUGACCAAAAUACCCCUUAGUUUAAAAUUGACUAAAAUACUCCGCUAGGCCAAAAAUCAACUAAUCCUACUUUAAAUAGACACAGAGACAAUUAAUCAUACAUAAACAUAUAUAAACAAACAUAAUAAAUCAUUUAAUUAAUUCUAGCUAAAAACAGGUUGUUACACAACAUCCUGGGACUCUAGUCGGGUUGUACAUAGUACACAUACGUGGGGCCAGUCUGUCCAUUUCUUAACAAGGAAGCAUAUGAGAUGUCCCUAAUAAUUGGAUUCCUAAGAAGAAUAAAAGAAUAUGCUAUUUGGUAGCUAGGAUUGGAUAAGGACGGAUGGAUAAGAACAGCCCAUGUAAAAUGACUAAAAGGUACAACUUGUAGUGGGUUGCCUUGUACUAUAAGAGGGUACCCGUGUGUUUGUAUCAAGGGUCUAAAAAUUCACCUUAGAAUUGGAAAGGUCAGGUUACGACUAGGGUUAGCAGCUUUAGAGAUCCCAUUCCAUCUCAUCUUCUACCAUAAAUGAGCAUGGUAUAUAGAUUCUAGAGUUCUUAUACUAGAUUACUUGGUGAUGCUUUUCCUCACCUUAUUCCUUCAAGGAUUGUAAUCUUGCGAUAACUCUACCUAUUCUAUUAAUUUAGUUUCUAUGUUUUCAUUUGCUUCCAUCUUCAUUUCCAUUUCUAUGGUUCAAGUCACCAUGAGCUAAACACCUUUAAAUGGUUUAGACAUGGUGAGGUUCUGAUUUAUUAAUUACUUGUGAUAUAUCAAACUGUAACAUUGUACUUUGCUCUGAUAAACUAUUUUUAUUGUAAAACCAAUAGAAGUGAUUCCUGAUAAGUUUUCCUUCUAAUGAUAUAGCUCGUUACCCUGAUGAAGUAAGGAGUGGAACCUGUUUAUUUGAUACGAGUUAGCCCUUACCAACAGAGUGAAAGAGGACAAGGGACCUGAUUGUAAAACUAACGUUAUAGGAGGCUAGAGCUUGGUGAAUCUUAGUUAGCUUAAGAGGUUAAUAAACAUCCAUAACACUGAAUGACCAUAGCCAUACAACACUCUAGCUGAGUAUUACAUUUUCUUAAGGCUAAAAUAUGCAUUUCAUCCCUGCAAAUAUAGGCCAUUUGAAAUUUCAUCCUUGAACUUACUAAUCCUCUUAUUAUUUCCCUGCAAUUGUUAAUCACUUGAAAUUUGGUCCUAAUCACAUUUUUUUUGCUGGGGUGGAGGGUAAUUGGCGACGUGUCAGCUGUUGACUGUGCCAGAACACUGAUGACUCAAACAAAAUGGCAUGAAUAGACAAAAUUGCCCUUAAUGAAUCAAACCAACAUGGAAAAGAUGUUAUUGCCCUUCUUCCUCCUCUUAAAUCAUCUUCUUCUCCCUCGGCUUAAAUCUUCUUUCCUCUGUUCCAGCCAUUCCAACUUUGUAUAUGUAUAUGUGUUAUUAUAUGAAGAAAGGUCAACCACGAAGUCAACAUUCAGAUUGGAAGAGAACUUCAAUCAGACUGUGAAGGAUCAAAGACUUUGAAGGAAGUCAUUAUAUGUAGAAUUUGUGUUUUAAUUUAAUUUUUUCAUGAACUAUUUUCAGACUACGCAUAUAUUACAUGAGCUAUUUCAAUAAUUAACCCUAUUUAUUUUAUUUUUUGACGAAAAAUAAGCGAUAUUCAUUUAUUAAAUUCGAUAGAAUUUUUAGGUACAAUACAAAUUUAAAGUUGUUAAAAACAAAAAUGAUGAAUCCUCAAACCAACUCACAAUAUCAUGUUAAUAGCAUAAAACAACAUAGUACAUAUGCCUACAAAUAUGAUUAUGUUCAAAUCUUUGUAAUAAUCAUUUACUAAAUCUGCAACGAGCUUGAAGUCAUUGAUCUGAUUUUCACUUUAUUACAACUUUAAUCAAAUAAACACGACACCAAGAUGAAAAAUAAAAACACAUCAUACAAAGACGAGAAAUCAAAGAUAUCAACAAUCAAAGUUGAUCUUGACAUAUGAAAAAUGGUUGAUUAAAACAUGUAUUUUGAAACAGAUGGAAUAUUUAAUAAAAGAUAUUUAAACAAUUUUAUUAAUUUAUUAAGGUUUGGAUACAUACAGGCACAUGUAACUUUAAAUAUUUACUAAUUUAUUAAUUUAUUAAAUGCAUAAUAUAUUUAAGAUGUGGGAUCAAACCCCAGCCACCACGAAAAAAAAAUAUUACUAACUAACAGAUAGUUUAUUUGGGUAUCCCUAUACCGAAUUUUAUAAUCGAACACCUCAAACAGAAACAACUAAAAUCUAAACCAUGUCAUAUUAUCAGGAUCUAGGAUUUAAUAUGGUGACUUUAGGAAUUGAGUUAUGGGUCUUGAUAACAUUUUCAUUUUCCUUUAGUUAUUCAUGAUAUAUGAAACGUGGCCACCUAGUAAUCUAAUAUCACUUACCUCACAAAUCAUAUUUUAUUUAUGGAAAAUGAUUAGAAAAAUUCCAUUCACUCUUAUAUUCUUUUCUGAAACAAGUCCCCGUUCACAUUGCUUCAUUAAAAUAUUUAUGGUCAACGAUUCAAAAUUGAGAGUUCCACUAUAGCUUAUCUCUUUUAUUGAGAUAAUAAAACAAAUCGAAAUAGAAAAAAGUCUAACACUUUAUGAAAAAAAUGGGAGAAACCAUUUCUGCUGCAGCCUCAUCCUCAGCAUCUAAAUUGAAGAAUCAAGAAGAUAGUUUUUACCUUCAUAUACAUCCUCAAGAGCUACACUUUCCACGUAAUUAAGCCUCUUUAAUUCCCAAAAACCAACAAAAUUAAAUAAGAAGUUUCUUAUUUCUAAUCCUAUUUUAUUAUGUGUCUUGUUUCUGGUUCUAAAUUCUAAUAGUAUAAUUUUUUUUUUUAACACUUUCUUGUUUUCUGCGAACCAGUUGAAUUGAAGAAAAAUAUCUCAUGCUGUUUGCAGUUGUCCAACAAGUCAGAUAAUUAUUUGGCUUUCAAGGUAAUGAUUUUCUUUUUCGUUUGUUAGAAAAUGAUAAGUUGUGCAUUUUUUAUAACUUGUGCCCUUAAGAAAUCAGUUAAAAAAAUUAAAUAUAGAAGUAUUUUUCGAAAAUUGUGUAUCUUAGAAAUUAAAAAAAAAAAAAAUUCCAUUAGUAAUCUUGUCCUUUAAUUCUUUUUUUAUGCUGCAUUAGAGGAUCCAUGUUUGCUUAAUAAAUUGAGUGUUAUUUAGGAAAAGUUAUGAUUAUGAGUUGGAUUGAAAUUGAUGGUGUUGCAACUUGCAGGUUAAGACUACAAUUCCUGAGAAAUAUUGUGUUAGGCCUAAUAUUGGAGUUCUGUUGCCUAUGUCUACUUGUGAUAUUAUAGGUUUUCUUCUCUCCAUCUCUCUCUACCUUCUUCACUCUCCCUUUUGCUAUCAAAAGUACAAUGACAUGCAAAGAAUAAUAAAUUCGGUCGAAUUAGACUUUACAAGACUCAAGUAUGUCCUAAUCUAAAAGUUCAAGGUCGACUACUAGAAAAUUCGUUUUUAGCGACGGAAAUUUGUGAGGGUUUAAUUCCGUCGCAAAUUUUGACGGAUUUUGUGAAGGGUACUCUUUUGAUGUCAUUAGCGACGGGUUUUACGAGGGUCUGUGUCAUUAGCAUGUCAUAGGUUUAUUUUUAGUCUCAAGUCUAGUAUUUUUGAAUGUCUUGUAGGACUAUCUAUCUUACUUAUAGACAUUUUUAAUAUGAAUAUAUAUUUAAAUAAGUAAUUUCAUUAUUAGAAACCCAAUUUUCCUGCGGAAUUACCAGCGGAUUUUAGAAUAUUCCGCAGAACACCUGUUUCCUGCAGAUUUAGACUGGGAUUUUGGUUCACUUCUAAUAUCUUCAUAGAUAAUUGUUUCUUUUGAUUUUAGGAUCAGAAGAAAAGAAGAAUCCCCAGGAAAAGUGAAAAUUAUAGGAUCAUAUUCAAUAUUAUCAAUAAAGAAAUUCAAAAUCUUACAAAUUUCCUGUAAAAAAAAAAAUUACAAAUUUCAUCAUAUUAAAAUAAACCGCAUGAAAAUUCGCAGGAAAAACUUGAGUUUCUAUUAUUGUUUUAGCUAUUUUUGUAGGCCUAUUUAUCCUACUUAGUAUAAAUAGUAGGGUUCAUUUUUGGGUCGUACCGCAGACAUCCCCUUUUCUAACAAAGUACCAUCCUUGUUUACAGUGUCAUGGAUAUGUUGGCAUAAUGUUUACAUGGGAUUUAGUUGCACAAUGUCAUGUGUUCUGUUCUUUUAUACUCACUUUUAUAACUAAGUAGCAUCAUUUUUUACUUAAUGACUCUUUAUAGUUACAAUGCAAGCCCUAGAGGAGGCACCUCCUGACAUGCAAUGCAAAGAUAAGUUUCUCCUUCAAAGCAUAGUUGCAAGGCCUGGAGCUACCACUAAAGAUAUCACUUCAGAUAUGGUAACAAACAACAAAUUGUUUCUUGAUAGUUUUUUCCACCAACAUUUCAUAUUUUAAUUGUUUUCUUUUUUCAUUGCAUGAAGUUUUAUAAAGAUUCCGGAUAUGAAGUUAAAGAGUCCAAAUUUAGAGCUGUUUGUGUUGCUCCUCCUUCUAACCCUCCAUCACCAGUUCAAGUAUCUGGAUCUUUAGAUCAGGUUUCUUUUUAUUUCAUUUUUUAAAAGCAGUUCACAUAUAAUUUCUAUGCAGCAUAAUAUACAAUUUAAAUUGGUAAUUCUCGUUGAUUUGUGUUGGUGAAUAAAAGUGACUCACAAAGUAUAAGAAGAGGAAAACAAUUUUUUAUUGAAUAUCAGUAUUUUUAUUAUUGUUUUUAUGUGUUAACCUUACGGUUCUCAGAGGAAAGGAACACUGUUCAUCAUGAGUUCGUUCGUAAGGUAAGUAUAGCCUAACUACGAAUCCUUUGGUGGAACUCAUUAAUCAUUUGCGCUCAAUUACUUGAUCAAUAGUUGUAGGCUUUUAAAUACAAACUCCUAAACUUUAACUGCUGCUUUAUUAGAUAAUAAGUAACUGGAAAAUUAAAACAAACUCCCGUAAAGACUUAGUCAACUAUAAAUGACACGUUCAACACUCCUUGUAAGGAGUUGAUGUUCGAUGCCUAUCUACUCGUAGAAUACAGUGAAUUGUUAUGAAGUCUACUUUGUGCCACUAUCAGACAUUAAAACUUGAAUCACACAGUCUUUUUGCUUUUCAAUCCAACGCUUAAAUCUCCAAAAUACUCCCGCAACCUCUAACCAUGAGUUAUCAAAUAAUUCCAACACAUUUUGGUGUAAUAUUUGCUCUCUUGAAGUGUACUGACAUACCUUGUAGAUUGGUGAUUCAUCAUCUAAGUCAGCUAGUCAUGAACCAAAUCAUUUCUUUGUAAAUUCAGUACAAUUGCACGAUGAAAAUGGCGUAAUCUUUUGGGCCAUAUCUCCGUAUUAUUAAUAGUAACUUGAUAAGUUGCUUUCCUUUCCUUCUUUGGACUAAACGAGAAACUAUUGCAACUAUACAAUUGCUGAUACACACGUUCAAAUGGCAAUCAUAAUUGCACAUUACAAACCUCAACCAGUACAAGCCUUCGAUAAUAUAUACUUUUGAUCUUAACCUAAGUAAUUAUCAUAAUGAUUUAUUUUUAGUUUUAGGAGGCCACAAUCAAAUUCCAAAUGUAUUUUAAAAUUGAAAUGCAUAAUUUUCCAAGUUUUCUUAAUUUAUAUAUUGAUUUAUAUUACUAUAUUGGCCUUUGAUAAUGAUCUUGUUGUAAUACAUUAAUUUUCUUUUCAAUUUAAGCAUGUUCUUUAGGAGUGUCCCCCAUAUAAGCUGAUUGCAGUUGAUAGAUGCAUGUCAUUAAUUUACAUUCUUAAUUGUGAUAUUGAAAAAUAACUUGUUCAUAAACCCCAUCUCCCUAUUGACCUUACGUUCAUGUAUCGAUUAUUAUUGAAAAGAUUUGAAUUCUGAAAUAUUGUUGCUCAUUUUUUAUUUCUUGUCAUUUUAGGCAAAGGAUCAAAUUUCGGAGUUAACCGAAGAGAGAGAUUAUCUUAAGAAGGAAAAUAAAAGGCUUCAGGAAGCACUGGUACGCCAUUCACAACAUGAUCAUAGCUUGGUAAUCUUGAAUAUUUUGUCGGGUGAUCUUGAUUGCUAUCCUAUGAUCUUGAAUAUUGGUCGUGUCUUAACUUAUUCAACUAUUUACGUAAACUUGAUAUUUUUUUUUGUUGUCAAGUAGCCUAGCCUAAUGGCUAGAAAUUCACAUCUAAGGUGAAAAAAUGGGGUCAUGAUAUUCGAAUCCCAACUUCUGAAUAAAUUAUGCAUUGUCCUUAUCAACUGAGCUAAACUCAGAGAGACCAAUUUAAUACCUUUAUCUUUAUUUUAAAAUUUUGGAAAGAUAAGAUUAUCUUAGUCAUCUGCGAGAAUACCAAAAAAGAUUUUUUCUGAUUCCAAGAAAGAAAAAAUUCACAUUGAAACCUAUUGGUUUCCAAAUUUUAAAAUGACUAUGCUUUCAGAUCACAAGAAUUUCCUUCAAUUUCCUUCUUGAAGUUACUGAGGAAGAAUUUCCUUCUUGGUCCGCUCUUACCAAUUGUUGAACCGCGAAUGCUUUUAUCGUUCCUCUUCUUAGCCAAUAACUGUCAUUUAUAUGGUGUGGCUUUAAAGUACACCCAAUCUCCAAUUUCUGUGUGAACAUGCUUCAUAUUCUUAUUUGCAUGCUUCUUCAUUCUUUGCUGAGUUAUUUCUAAACUCUUUUGUAACUGAUACAGAACAUUAUCCCUAUCUUCCACCAUACACGGCUUCUACUUAUGAAGGAAAUGUAGCACACUUUAUUACUGGAGGAGAGUCCCUUCCAUUUAGUUCUUGGAAAUCUUGUAUCCUAAUUAACACAUUAAAAUUAUUAGGCUUAAUUGCAGUCCCCCAUACUUCGAAACGUGGCCACUUUACCCCCUUUUGUAAUAGAUCAGUUUUGACUCGGUCAAUGCAUGUGUCAUCUAACUUAAUUGAGUCAGACGCUACAUGUGCAUAUUUAUUUUGCUCUUCUUCUCUUCUUCCCUUAAAUCAAAGUCUUCUCUUCAAACCUAUCCCUCACAAAUCCAACAUCCAUGAGAAGUUCUUUAUCAAAAUAAGAACUCGGGGUCGAGUUCUUUAGACGUAGAGGAGAUUGAUGCAUGAGGGAAUCCAUAGUAUUUUCUAUAGUAUUUUUAUUUUAGCCAAAUUUUAGUAAUUUUCUAUUUUUAUUUCAGUUUGUUAUUUUUGGCCCAUUAGAGUUUUGUUAUUUGUCUAUUUAAACUUAACAGGUGUAGCUUAAGAAACAAACUAUUAUUCAUUCAAUUAUAUUUUAGAUAGUUUUCUCAAUUUCUGGUGGAUUCUGAAACCCUAUUUUCGCAAGUUUGUCGUUUGCAAACUUGUUUCUCUUAAAUCUUAGAGUUAGCAAAAUUUAUUUUACGUAGGAUUUUAUAUCUUUUGUUACUUUAAAAGAAACAUAUUUUAUCUGCCAAGAGUAGAGAUGAGAGUGAUGCAAAUCGAGAUGGGAUCAUUGGAGUAAUUUAGAUUACUGUAAUGGCCUUUGAUAUGAUGUUCUUGUAAUAUAUUGACUUUCUUUUCAGUUUAAGCAUGUUUUUAGUUUCUGCCUGCUCCCAUACGGCCAGCAAUGGUCCUGUUACCGUGGUCUCUUAGUAGCUUGUAGGUGUGUCCUUAUUUUGGAGUGUUUUUUGGGUUUUAAGGUUUGUCCGCAUAUAUACGGAUCCUUUGCAUGUUUUCUUUGUCUCUUGGCAGCCGGGUGCAUGUUACGUAGGCUUGCUUUUAAUUUGGUUAAUUCAAAAACCAAAAAAACAUUUUUGGGAAUGUCCCCCCAUAUAGUCCGACUAAAGUGGAGCUUUCAUAUUUAAAAAUAUGAUGUUCAUAGACGCCAUGAUUGGUUUUGUCAUCUAAAAAAUCUAGCGGCGCAACUUGUUGUCUGCUUAUCUACUAUUAGUAUAUAAUAAUAAUUAAUCCUUGAUAUAUAAUUUUUUAAUAGGGCAUUGCUAUGGAUGAGAUGUGAAUUCUGAAAUAUUGUUGCUUAUUUUGAAUUUCUUUUUAUUUUAGGCAAAAGUACAAAGUUCAAAUUUAACUGAGAGAGACGAUGUUAUUGAGAAAAAUGAAAAUCUUGAGCAAGAACUGGUAUGAAAAAAUCUCUCUCUUUAAUUAACAAUUUUAGAACGAUAAGAUUAUCUUAGUCAUUUCCAUGAAUAACUAAAGAUUUCUAUGAGAAAUGAAAAAAUCAUAUUGAUACAUAUUUGGUUUCCUAAAUUUUAAAAUGAUUUUGCUUUGAGAUCACAAGAAUUUCCUUAUUCAACUUAUAAAGAGGAGGCAUUCGUAAGCAAUGAGUUAGGCUCAACUUCAACAUGAGAGACAAAAUUCCUUUCUCAGCAUAAUCGCUUGAACAAAGAGAAUUAUUGUUGAGAGAUGUUAACCGAUACCUCGCUAACUCUCUAGUUCAACAACAAUUACUAACUUAAAAAUAUAAAACGCUCCAUAUCAAAAUGAAUAAAUAUAAUGAGCUCAAUAUCCUAAACCCAAUAGACUAUUAUCUAACAGAAGCGAUGUGAUUUUAUCCUAAACAUCGUUAUCUUAGACUAUGCCUUUAUGAGUGAAUCAUUGAUUUAGUCCCUAAAAUCAAUAGCACCAAGCAAUUUCAUAUAUUAAGUUAUUGAAAUUCCAUAAUGAUCUCUAAAGUUGAAAAUUCUUUGAUCACAUUAGUUCUUUAAUGUUGGUCAAUUUACUCCUAAAAACUAUCCUAAAAGCACUAAUGUGAUUGUCGAUUUUCAAUUUUAUAUAUUAUUUUGAAAUUUUACUUAUGAUGAAAAUAACUACUACAAUUUUAGGGAUUAAAUUGUAUGGUUCACUCCACUCAUUUUCCUUGAAUAUAAGUAGCAUAGUUAAUAUGUAUUAUUGCAAAAUCGAGGGAAGCUUUUCUGAAUUGGUUACGUUAAUUCCUUUUCUUCAAGCAGGAGAUGGAGAUAUCUCUUAUAGGACUUCAGAAUGCUGGAAAGACUUCCCUUGUAAAUGCUGUUACUACCGGUGGAUACAGCGAGGAAAUGAUUCCUACAGUGGGAUUCAAUAUGAGGAAAGUAACAAAAGGAAAUGUUACAAUAAAGAUAUGGGAUUUAGGAGGGCAACGUAGGUUCCGUAGCAUGUGGGAACGUUACUGUCGUGCGGUUUCUGCUAUCGUUUCUCUUGUUGAUGCUGCUGAUCCAGAUAACCUUAGCAUAUCAAGAAGUGAACUUCAUGAUUUGCUGAGCAAGCCAUCAUUGAGUGGUAUCCCUUUAUCGGUGUUGGGAAACAAGAUUGACAAGCCAUGGGCUGUGUCUAAACAAGAUUUGACCGACCAAAUGGAUCUGAAAUCAAUUACUGAUAGAGAAAUUUGUUGCUUCAUGAUCUCGUGCAAAAACUCAACCAACAUCGACUCUGUUAUUGACUGGCUUGUGAAGCAUUCCAAAUCAAAGAACUGAGAAACUGCUUUGUGCUUUGAACUUUGAUGUAAUUUUGUGGCGACCCAAUUCUGGAUUUAGUAGUGGCAUUGGAAUGCUAACUCUCAGAUUGGUGUAUAAUUAUGUGGCGGUUCCAACUAUAUACGGCGCCUUUUGUUUGUAUUCUCAGUUUCAUCGGUCUUUGUUCGUCUUGAGCGGGGAUUUGGUUGUUUAAUAAAAUUUGCUGUUUUAAAAAAAAAAAGGUUAUCGACACUAUGAAAGUGACUUUCAUCAAUCCAUCCACUUCCACCGUAAACUUAAAGAUAGGUAACUAAAAAUACCUUAAUUGACCUAACUUCAAAAAUUGCCACAUAUACUUGUUUAGGAUAAAUAAUAAAUUGAAAUUUUUUAAUUUUGAUUUUUCAUAUCACUUUUGUUUUUCUUUUAUAAUAUUUUUACUGAUAAAACAUCAAAACUGAUAGGCUAUGCUACUCUAGCUACUAUUAAACUAAGAAUGCAAAAGAAGAAGAAAAUAUAAAACUUUAUAAGUUUAUUCAUGAAGCAGCCAAGAGGCAUUGUUAUAGCUUUUAUACUUAGGGUUGGUAGCAAGGGCUUAACCUGAUAAAACAUAAUAAAAGCAUAAGAAAUAAAAAUAAGUCCAAAAGUUUAUUGGGGUGGUCUAUGAAUGAUGUAAACAUAAUUGAUGAUAGGUUAUCUUACGUUAUUUUUAGCAUGUUUUUCAGUCAAAUUCAAUAGGUUUUAUCAGCAGAACUGAGGAGUAUUAGAACAAUUGUCUAUAAUUUUGGGUCAUUUGUAAUGUUUUAUAUAUUUGAGUCUGUAAUUCUAUUAUUCCCGAAACAUAGCAAUUCAAAGGUGUUUUUGAUAUGAAGAACAUCAAAAAGUCUUAUAGACAUUGGGAAGAUCAAGAAUGAAGAUUCAAGAGUCAUCAUAAGACUUUACAGAGGGAGAAAUUAUGUUCUUAGGUCACAAUACAUCUUAUAUGGAAGCAAACACCCAAAUGGAUGGAAAAACAGAGAAUUAAGGCUCAUAACACACUUACAUGCGCCUAGGGCAUGAAUCAUACGCCUAGGAAAUGCCUCAUGUACCUAGGGCAUAAGUUGUUCUGCACACUCAUGCGCCUAGGACAUGAGCUGUGCGCCCCGAGCACUGCUUAGUGCGGGCAAAAACAACUUUUUCCUACUUUUUAGCAGGAAAAAGUUCGGUUUUGGUCCCAACUUCAAGUGGAAACUCUCCCUAUAAUUACCUCAUUCCUCAUUCCAAAUUUCUCAUUCAGAACGAAGUGGUUCAAGAGGAAGGCAAACACUAGGAGCUUCCAGGGAGUAGUUUCUCUCUCCUCACUCCAAGUUUCUCUAUGGUAUGUUUUAUUUCUUUUGUAAUUUGUCUUUAGUUACCAUGAGUAACUAAAUAUUUAUAGGCUAGGGUUCUAAGAUGAAACUUUAUUAUAUUUGUUGGAUAAUUAUUUAAUUUAUAGUCAUUUAUUCAGUUAUCUUCUGUCUGUGAUUUAGUUUUACUGUAAUGCGUAAGAUUUUUCUCCUCUAGAACAUAACUCUCAUUUAGGCACUUAGGUAGUGACAUGGCCUAAUAUUGAUAUUUAUAACUUGUUAUUUAUAGAUGCCUAACAAGGAAGUAAUUAGUUAGUAACUAGCGAAAGAAACCGAAAGCGAUUGGACCCUGAUAAUAAUUACUUAGGAGGUGGCAUAACUACUAUUAAGUAAAAUCUGCUGAAAUUAGAAUGUAACUAGUUAGUAAUUAAGGAAACAAAUGACUUCACAACCUAAAUCAGCCUGAUAACUCCAUUCUCCUCGACCUGGGUCAGGUAAAUGCUGAUAGGGUUGCCCGUUUAUAGAACUACCAAGAGGGAAAAUGUGCUAUGUACUUCUAAGACUCAUAGAUGAGAAAAACUUUAGGAACACUAGCAACGAUAUCUUUGGAAAUUUAGGAACGCCAAUUUAAGUAUAUGUUUCAAUUAACACUGAGGGAGUAAGACCCCAUACGUAUGGAUCACCGUGUGGCCAACAAUUGCAACUCAACAGGCGGAGGGAUAGACCGAAAUCAACUGAGAGAGUAAGACCCGAAACAUAAGGAUCAUUGUGCGACCAUCAAGUGCAACUUGACAAACUGAUUAGGCUAUCACGUACCAACGAACUCAUCACUUAGAUAGUCUACUUAGAAUAACAGAACGCGACUUGACUAUUAAAUAAUUCCAACAAAUGAAUAUAGAGGAUCCUAACUGCUGCUAAUAUUUUUGCAAUCAAAACACGUAAACUUUCUCUGUUGCAAACAGAUAAAAAUUGCAAACUCUAAACUCUUAUCUUUUAUUUAUUACUUUGUUUUCAAAUCAGCUUCAAGAAAAAAUGCAUUUGGCGACUUUUAAAAUGACGAAUUGCGACUGUUAGAAAGGUCGCAAAUGUACAUUUGAGACUCUUCCCCAACAGGCGCUAAUGUUGGGGUCGCAUCUGUCUUUUGCGACAAUUCAAGGAACGGUCGUACCAACAGCCGCGACGGGUCAUAACAGUCGCAAAGUACAUUUUGUUUUGUUUGAAAAGGGGUGUUGCGACAGUUCAUAACAGCCGCAAUUCCUUAAAACUAUUUUUUUAAAAUACUCUUUGCGACACUUUCGAAUUGUCGAAAUUUGUGAAAUUUAUUUAAAAAAAGAAUAAUAAAUCAUAAAAUAUGAAUACUAAUUAAUAAAAAAUAUUAACUAAUCCAUAAACUAAAAUUUGAAUUUUACAUUCAUAUAAAAUUAUUUGUGGCGUCAAACACUCUGGACACAACGUUAACUUCCAGAUCAAUACAAAUUUUAUGAUUGACAGUCUAAUCUACAAUGAUGUUUAUAAACUAAAAAAAAACUUAAUUCUUAAUAAUUCUAAAGGUAAUAAGAUGGAGGCCAGUAAAUUUCCCUUCCGUUUGGAUCCAAAUAGUCCAUACAUGAAAGACAGAAACAUAAAAUUAUAGCAAAUAUAGUUUAAACUUUCAACAUUUCAAUACUUGUAUACAUGGUAUAUCCUAUAGAAUUCCUAAAGAAAGUUUAAAAUGAAAAGCCCACACAAUAAAAAACAAACAAGUGAUGACACCAUGAAGGGUAAACAUAACACUUUUAAAUCCAAAUAAUCUUGACAUAACAUAGCAUUUUGCAGACACACAAACAUAACAUAGCAACAGUGUCAAUUGACAUUGAUGAUAAUUCAAAUUGAGUAAAAGUUUCACCAUUAUGAAGAUUAAGACAUUUGUAUCAUAUACCUGGAAUAACUUUCAGAUGGAUACCCUAUUGAAAUAAAAAAAUUUAUUUCCUCACCACACCUCAAAAACAUCUACAUAAUAUCAAACAACAAGCACAAUAAGACAUUCACACUCUUUUGUGACAAAAUGGUCAGAUAAGAUGACGACGCAGCUGCACGCACUAUGUGGCUUAAAGUAACAAGUUCCAAUACAUUUAACUCAAAACAAUGGCCUAGGCAACAGUGUGAAUGGGCAGAUAAGAUGAUGACACAACUGCAUGCACUAUGUGGCUUAAAGUAACAAGUUCCAAUACAUUUAACUCAAAACAAUGGCCUAGGCAACAGGUUAGACAAAUUAAGAAAAGAGUUCAACCAAACUAACUAUCAGCAUACAUCAGUUGUUAUCCAUCAAAUUAAGAGUUUGAUCUACACACAGUUCCAGCAGAAAAUUACACACAGUUCCAACAUAAACUACACACAGUUCCAGCAUACACUAAACGAAUAAAAAAUGUCGACAAGUAAUCAAUUUUAAGAAAUUUGUGAAAACAAGUAGAGAGAGAUUUGUGCAACAGUAUGCUAUGUUUUAGAAAAUCAGUUGUGUAUGCAAAGAAUCAAUUUAACACAUUAGGUCUUGUAUCUCUCCCAUUCAUCCUUUCAUAAGUUUGGUCUAAAAAAUAAGCUAAAACAUGAACAGUUGUGGGUUCAAGUCGAACCGAACCAGUGUUAUGAUUGGGUGAACCCGUUCAUUAUUGUUUUCAAACUGAACUGAAACCAAUUUCACAAGUUGAAUUGCUGUCAAGAACUCGAAGUUCAAUUGCUGUCAAGAAUUAAUAAAGUUAAAUAAAUGUCAACAACUCAUAAAAAGUAUGCAAGAUUACAAUUGCUCAAGCACACAUACAAGAGACUUUCAAUACUCAAGCACACAAGCAAGAGACUUCAUAUGCUCAAGCACAAAAGCAAGAGACUUUUAUAAAACAAAGAUUACAAAGAAUAUUGUUUGGUUGAACACUUAAUAUAAAAUCAGAGGUGUUCAAAAAUACAAAACAGUUCAGACUCUAGAUUUAAGAAUUUCUAAUAUAGGGUCUUGUUCUAAUUUCUAAUUUUUUGUUUUUAACACUUUCUUGGUUUUUGUGAACACAGUUGAAUUGAAUAAACAGAUCUUAUCCUCUUUCCAGAUGUCUAACAAGUCUGAUAAUUAUCUGGCUUUCAAGGUAUUGAUGUUUCUAUGUUGUUUGUUUUUAUAUAGUGUUAUUUACGAAAGGUUAUAAUUUUGAUUUGGAUUGAAAUUGAUGGUGUUGCAACUUGCAGGUUAAGACUACAGUUCCUGAGAAAUAUUGUGUUAGGCCUAAUAUUGGAGUUCUGUUGCCUACGUCUAUUUCUGAUAUUAUAGGUGAAAUAAUUUGCUUGAUUAUGUGAAUAAUCAUUUGCUUACAAAAGUAGAAAGACAUGUAAAGAAGAAUAAUAAUGACAUUUUUAUUUCUUAUUUUAAAGGUAUAUUUUCCUCCAAUCUCAAUUAUAGGAGGAUGAACACAUUGUUAUCCUUAAGUUUUGAUCGAAUAUGUACUCAUCAUCUAAUUAUUCAAUACCUUAUUAUAUUUUUUAAUUUACUAAUAUAAACAUAAAAUUAUAUUUUGAAUAAAUCCUUAUUAUAUUUUUUAAUUUAUUAAUAUAACAUAAAAUAAUAUUUUGAAAUUUUUUUGCAUACGGUGUUGCUACCCAAAGAAGAUGUAGUCUACAAAUCCAAAGAAGUAUUGUUGCCUAGGUCUACUUGUGAUAUUCAAGGUCUUGUUCUCUAUCUUUUUUAGUCUCUCUCAUGCACACAAAAGCACGACGAAAUGCAACGAAGAAUAAUCAAGAUGUUAUAUUUGUUUACAAAUCAUAACAUUUAUAUAAUUGAUUAAAGUUAAUCAUUUUUAGCUAAAUAAACUUCUAAAAUAGUCUUAGCCUUAUCUUUAUAAAAACAAAACAUGGGUUGAACUAAGCCUGAUACCUUAAGCAUUCAAAAGUUGUUCAUGAGUUCUUGUUAGUUUAUGUGUGCAGAAAGUGGUUGUUGUACUACUAGAAAUAUUAGUUAUAUUGUUUUAUUAGGUACUUACAUGUGGUGGCAAAUUACCUUUUUUUAUUUUUUAUUUUUUGGCUUAAUUAAUGAUUUGGUCCCUUAAGUUAUUUAUUGGUUACAUUUUGGUCCCAUAAGUUAUUAAAGUUACAAUUUGGUCCCUUAAGUUAGUAUUUGUUAGCCAAAUAAAUCCUCACCGUCAGUCUUUUGCGAAAACGCUAAAUAAGGACAUGUGAACGGUGGCGUGACAACUUGCAAUAUAUAUCCACCUUAGACGUUGGCUUAACGGUUUUGAUGGUGGGGAUUUAUUCGGUUGCUGGAAGAUAACCUAAAGGAAUUAAAUUGUAACGUUAAUAACUUAGAGCACCCACAUCCAUGCCACUCUACAUGGGUGGUAUAAAUGGGUCCCAGUAAUACUUUAUAUUACUUCACACUUUUCAAUUAUUUAAACCACUCAACUACAUUUUCUAAACAUCCAUACCAUUCUUACAAAACUUAUAAUGGGUCCCACUAAUCUUACAAAAUGUGUGUGAGGAAGAGAAAGAAUUGCUUUAAGACACAAUGGUAGAAUUUGGAACCGUAGCCAAGAAAAGAUACCAACUGUUAUGCAAUUAUCCAUGCCUUUCCUGACACUAGUAGCCACACGUGGACCUUAUGUGCCAAAAGACACUGCCGAUAUUUGUGCUCUUAUGGGACUAAAAUNNNNNNNNNNNNNNNNNNNNNNNNNNNNNNNNNNNNNNNNNNNNNNNNNNNNNNNNNNNNNNNNNNNNNNNNNNNNNNNNNNNNNNNNNNNNNNNNNNNNUUGAUCGUAACCCAUAUAUAUAAUAUAAAAUAUUUCUAUAACAAAUAACAAAUAACAAAUAUAUCUCUAUAACAAAUAUAUUUCUAUAACAUAUAUAUUUCUAAACCAAAUAGCAUAUAUAUUAUACUAAUAAAUACCAACAUAUAACAUAACAAAAUAUCACUCAUCAAAAUAAAUCAUAUAAAUCACACAAAUCAUAUAAGUAUAUUCUAAACUCAUUAAAAUAAUCAAAUAAUUAAAGAGGUGUUACAAUUUUCGUGUUCAUUUUUCAUACAUGCAUUCAUCAUCAAUAACGUUGUCAUCAUGCAUGCAAUGCUUCAUCAACAUAAAUCGUCAUCAUCAUCAUAAUCAUUAUCAACAACAAUCAACUAAAGAAUCAACAAAGUUCCAGACUAAAGAAUCAACAAUUCUAGUCGUCUUCAUUGGAUAUAAAUAUCCUACUUAUGAAUGCAUGAACAUACGACUCCACAAUGCAUACGCUCAACAAAAAAUCGUCAUCAUUUUCGUCUUCAUUUUUCAUACAUGCAUUCAUCAUCAAUAACGUUGUCAUUAUGCAUGUAAUGAUUCAUCAACAUAAAUCAUCAUCGUCAUCAUAACCAUUAUCAAUAACAAUCAACUAAAGAAUCAACUAAGUUUCAAACUCACAUUUUGCACAAAAGACAGACAGUUAUCCACAUCAUGACAUUCAUCAAAUUAAACACCGACUCAUCCUUGAUUCAUUCUUAUUAUAAAAUAUCAUCAUGAAUAUAAAGUCAAUUGCAAGUUAUUCGGUCAUAAAACCUCAUUUCAACAAAGUUCGUCUAUUUUCAUAAAAUCGACCAUUUUCAAUUUUACCAACCAAAUUAGGGUUCCAAGUUCUUACAUACCAUUAAGACAUCUCUACAUAUCAUCUAACAUCUUAGUUAAUCAAUCAUAACAAGUUCAGUUCACAAAGUUCAACUAGUUCUCCAAAAUUGCAAAGUUCAUCUCCUUUUUCUUCAUGUUUCAAACUCAAUUCAUUUCUAGGUAAAAUCAAGUUAAAACACUUCUAAAGAACAAAUAUUCAUGAUUAAUCAUUUAUUCACUAUAAAUACUUCCUCAAAUUCAAUAUUAAUUUUGAAGAUGUUUCAUGGUUUAGUGAAAAUGUUAUGAUAUAGUUUCAUGAAAAAGUGACACAUGACCUAUGCGAAGUAAUUUGACCAUAAAUCAAGUUAUAGAAAACAUUUUGAAGUUAGACUAAACCCAUUAUAAAUAUAACAUACAUAUAUAAAACUUUCAUGUUUACAACUACGGCUGAAUCGAUUCAGAUCUUAUUGAAUCGAUUCAAAACAAGUUAGAGAGAAACCAUGAUACGAUUCAAAAUUUCUGAAUCGAUUCAAAGCUGCCCAGAUACAGAAUGAUGCAAUUCAAACUUUCUUGAAUAAAUUCAAUGGCCUGGAAAACACAAUUUUAGCUUCGGUUUCAUCCCCAAAUCAUCCCAAAAAUCCCUAUUUUGAUUUCCAACAUACCUAAAACGAUAAAAAUCAUUUUCCAAAGUUCAUUCAGACGUUUUUCACCACAAUACAAAACAACUUAUACUUCAAUUUACCUAAUUCAUCAAGGUUACAACAACAACAACUUACACACAACAACACAUAUAUCACAAUCAAUUCAUGAAUCAUCAUCACCAACAUAUACCCAUCAACAAUCAUAGCAUAUAAUUCAUGAACUCGUCAGUUUUCAACAACAUCUUCAUUUUCAUAAAUUUAAGUUAAAACUUCAAAGCUAUCAUUUCAACAUACAUGAAGUUUAAGUAGCCACAACAAGAAUUCAAAAAAUUUCAUAUACUCAAAUUUAUUGCAUAGUCGUGAGCACGAAAUUCAACAUUCAAAAUCACAAAAAGUCAUAAUUCACCAUAAGUACCUAUUCUCAUAAUUGAAAAGAUGAAGGUUGUAACUUAAUUAUGAAAAGGAUAUACCCCCCUUACCUCUAGGUCUUGAAUUCACUAACUUAGGCUUUAAUUUAGUUCCUAGCUCUUCAAACCUCAAGCUCUCCCUCUAGCUUCCUCUUCUUUCCUCUUGCGAUCUACUUUCUUUCUCUACCUCUUAUGUUUUUGUGAAAUAAAAUAAUGAAUGGCUUAACCUAAUUUUCUCAUAAGAGUUAUGCUUAUAUAGUCACCUCUUAAUUU